rnacentral:lncRNA from 1 species
UAGCAGCUGGGGACCUUUCUGCCACCACAAAAGCCUAGAUUAUCCUGAUGGACGAUGGAAGACACAUGGCUGUUGUUCCAGCUGACAUCAAGCCAACCACUGGACAAGAUAGGAAAGCUCUCCUAGAACACGAAGGCCCGAAUGAACUGGCCCAGAGCAGAGAAACUGCUCAGCCAAACUGCCAAGCUGUGAUUAACAAAGGCUUCAUCUUAAUCCACCAGAUUUUGGGGUGGUUUGUUACACAGCGAAUGCUAACUGAUACAGUCAUUAUCAUUAGGUCUUUCUUGAGCUGAUCAUACUUCCCAUACUCUUUUCCUCCCUUGAUCUGCUGUUAUUUGUACCUUCUGAUAAAUUUAUACUGAGCUAUUUAGCAUAGAAAUUAGGUAAUAGUCAGCUAAACCCAGUUCUUCCUCAGGCCAGUCAUUUUAUUAAAUGAGGCCAGUAUUAAAUCACAUCACAGUAUGGUAACCUGAAAAAUAAAUGCCAAAAGAUAUCAUCACAUUACCAGAGUCCUACUUAGUCAUUAUCAAUUACUCCAGUUUCAUCAUAUCGUAUGACCAAAAUGUCCAUCAAUCAUCAAUCGAAUGACCAUCAGUCAUUAUAUCAUAUGACCAAAAUGUCUCCUGAGUGCUAACACUCAGGUUUGCAGACU